rnacentral:rRNA from 1 species
AUGCAAGACUACUUCUCGGACAAUCCUACGUAUCCGCCGCAGCCCUUCUGGAGAAGGUAUCGAAUGUGUCGAUCCCUCUUUGUAAAAAUAGUGCAAGCUUGUGAGGCCAAUUGUCAGUUUUUUACUCAAAGGAGAAACGCCGCAGGCUUGUUGGGUUUUGGCGCAUAUCAAAAAAUCUCGGCAACUAUGCGAGUGAUUUCAUAUGGCAUUCCGGCUGACUAUACCGACGAGUAUCUUCGCCAAUCAAUUGAGUCGGUGCAUAGGUUCGGCAAAGUGAUCAUUCGCGUUUUUGGUCCUGUCUAUCUUCGUGCACCCAACGAAGAAGACACUAAAAAGUUGAUGGCAGCAAAUGAGAAGUGA